UCCCACAUAGUUGAUGCAUACAUGGUAGUUGGAUAUUCAUGAUAGUACCUUACUAACAAAGGCACGAUAGUAGUAGACUUACUUUUAAUUUCAGCUAUUUCAUUUGUAGGUAUCCACAUGAGGUUCUUGAUUUGAUCGAUGUCCUCACCGGAGUGCUAGCUCCCUUGCAAAAGGACGUCUUUCUUGCUAGAAGAUGGAAGAGAGAAGAGGAGAUAUGACGGCUUAGGUUUUCUAAAACUCCCGUAUAUUAUAUAUAGGAAUAUAAUCCUAUUCCUAAUAAUAUAAUGACAAUUAAGGAUAAGUAUAAAUCUAGAUUUAAAUUUAUCUUUUCCUUAAUUUGUUAGAUCGAUCAAAUCCUAAUUUGAUUCGACUUUAAUUUUAUAUUAAUUUGAUCUUAUCAAAUUAAUAAUGCAAUAUUUGCACAUAAGUCCUCUUAUAACUUACUAACUAUUAGUAAGUCCUCUCUUGUAACAUUUACACCUUAAUACCACUAAUUUGUAACAAUUACAAAUUAGUCCAAUUAUCAUUAUAUUGACAAUUAGGUCCUCCGGCGAUUCAAUAAUCGCGAUCUAGCUAUCCGAUCAAUCACAACCUCUUAUGUGUGUGACCCUAUAGGUUCUAUUCUAUCUGGUAGUGAGAUAUAUUUUGAUCACUAUCAACAAUAUCACUGAAACUCCUUUCAGUGGAUCGGAACAAUUCCAACUCAGCCCAAUGAGAAUUAUC
rnacentral:lncRNA from 1 species